CUCUCUCUCUCUUGUGUUUGCCCACCUCCUGCGAGGCGAAAAGACUCGGCAACCCAACACGGGUUGACGAUGUAAUCAUUUUGAGUGUUUUCAGAUCUUAAAAGAAAAAGAAAAAGAAAAAAAGGUCGGUCGGUCUACUCGUUUCGCUCGAAUGGGCGAAAAAAUGUGGAUGGUCUCACUCUUAUUUCUCUCUAGCGUCUGGACGGCCAGCGCUCUUAUAUAGCUUCACAUAAUGGCCACACACACACACACUUACUACACCCUUUACUGUUAUCUUUUAAAAAUGAAAUGGUCUACUACCACCACCGAGCUGUUGCGUCAGAGAAAAACCUCAAAUUGGGUGAGCCAUAAGGAGUCGCACUUUAAAAAACAUAUUUUCAUUUUCAGUUUGUUACAAUUAUUAUUUUGGCGAGAGAAAAAAGUGACGCAAUCAUUCAAAAAGAGGAGCUUGUAGAACUUUCUCCUAGUCGAUUCCAAGGAGCCCCCCCUAUACAGAUUUCUGUUGAUCGGCCGAUAGCGAAGGUAAGCGGAAACGAUUAUACAGCUGGGAAUUUCGGUGGUGGAAGAAAAAAGAGAUCCAGCUAUUAAUGAAAAGUGAAGGGGAAUUUUUCAGUUAGUGUGUAUAACAAUUGUAACAGCAGUCAGCAGCAGGGCCGGCCUGCGCUCCAUCAGAGAACGAGGUUAGACUUUUGUCUGAAGGCUGUUUGGUUGUAGUGUGUCAGGAAAAGGGGUUUUUUUUUUUUCCUGUCAUCCCGGUUCUUCAAAGCCUCGGGAUGGAAAAUAACACGUGCCCCAAUGUUGUAAAACCAGCAACACCGUUUAUACAGAUAUAAAGAGA